rnacentral:rRNA from 1 species
UUACACAUGCAAGUCGAACGGCAGCGGGGGAGCUUGCUCCUGCCGGCGAGUGGCGAACGGGUGAGUAAUGCAUCGGAACGUGUCCUGUUGUGGGGGAUAACUGAUCGAAAGAUCAGCUAAUACCGCAUGAGACCUGAGGGUGAAAGCGGGGGAUCGCAAGACCUCGCGCGACAGGAGCGGCCGAUGUCUGAUUAGCUAGUUGGUGAGAUAAAAGCUUACCAAGGCGACGAUCAGUAGCUGGUCUGAGAGGAUGAUCAGCCACAUUGGGACUGAGACACGGCCCAGACUCCUACGGGAGGCAGCAGUGGGGAAUUUUGGACAAUGGGGGAAACCCUGAUCCAGCCAUGCCGCGUGCGGGAUGAAGGCCUUCGGGUUGUAAACCGCUUUUGUCAGAGACGAAAAGGGACGCACGAAUAAUGCGUCCCGCUGACGGUAUCUGAAGAAUAAGCACCGGCUAACUACGUGCCAGCAGCCGCGGUAAUACGUAGGGUGCAAGCGUUAAUCGGAAUUACUGGGCGUAAAGGGUGCGCAGGCGGCUGUGCAAGACAGAUGUGAAAUCCCCGGGCUUAACCUGGGAACUGCAUUUGUGACUGCACGGCUAGAGUUUGUCAGAGGAGGUGGAAUUCCGCGUGUAGCAGUGAAAUGCGUAGAUAUGCGGAAGACACCAAUGGCGAAGGCAGCCCUCUGGGACAUGACUGACGCUCAUGCACGAAAGCGUGGGGAGCAAACAGG